GAACGUGAAUAUCUUGCAAUGCUUUCAACGACCAUAGAAUGCAGCGCAACUCAGCCCCUGUUCGAUCUCGAAUUGGCGUAAACGCAUCUCGUGCAUGAUGUUUAGCUUGCCCUAUAUGAUCUCUUACAAUCCAAGCUCCUCCACACAUUGAUUGUUUAUUUAUCCAAGAAGAAUUCAAGUUGCAUUUAAGAAUACCUUCUUGGGGUUUCCACCAUUUUUUCCAUCCAAAUUGGAGGUGAUUGCCCAGGGAAUACUGUUGAAGGCUGCGUGUUCACCAUUGUCCAAUGCAAUUGCGUCUUCAUACGAUUUUUGAACUAAAACAUGAAAAUUUCAUACCUUUCCUUCGAAAAUCGU